CCUACGGGAGGCAGCAGUGGGGAAUCUUGGACAAUGGGCGCAAGCCUGAUCCAGCAAUGCCGCGUGGGUGAAGACGGCCUGCGGGUUGUAAAGCCCUUUUGGCGGGGAAGAAAGCCCUGGGUUAAACAGACUCAGGGGGUGACGUUACCCGCUGAAGAAGCACCGGCCAACUCCGUGCCAGCAGCCGCGGUAAUACGGAGGGUGCGAGCGUUAAUCGGAAUUACUGGGCGUAAAGCGCACGUAGGCGGUGAGUUAAGUCAGUUGUGAAAGCCCUGGGCUCAACCUGGGAACGGCAAUUGAUACUGACCGACUGGAGUGUAACAGAGGACCGUGGAAUUCCCGGUGUAGCGGUGAAAUGCGUAGAGAUCGGGAAGAACACCGAUGGCGAAGGCAGCGGUCUGGGUUAACACUGACGCUGAGGUGCGACAGCGUGGGGAGCAAACAGGAUUAGAUACCCUGGUAGUCCACGCCGUAAACGAUGAGAACUAGACGCUGGGUGGGUAACUGCUCGGUGUCGGAGCUAACGCGUUAAGUUCUCCGCCUGGGGAGUACGGCCGCAAGGUUGAAACUUAAAGGAAUUGACGG
rnacentral:rRNA from 1 species